UACGGAGGGUGCAAGCGUUAUCCGGAUUCACUGGGUUUAAAGGGUGCGUAGGCGGGCAGAUAAGUCCGUGGUGAAAUCUCUGAGCUUAACUCAGAAAACUGCCAUGGAUACUAUUUGUCUUGAAUAUUGUGGAGGCAAGCGGAAUAUGUCAUGUAGCGGUGAAAUGCUUAGAUAUGACAUAGAACACCCAUUGCGAAGGCAGCUUGCUACACAAUGAUUGACGCUGAGGCACGAAAGCGUGGGGAUCAAACAGG
rnacentral:rRNA from 1 species